UCAAAUAAGAAAUUUUAUGUUGACAGACUUUUUAUUUGCCACUAUUAUAAGUCUGAACUUUAAACAGAUUCUUGGACUGGUGGUUCGUAUCCAUCAGCUCGUUCAACUUUAGCACCUGUCUCAUCCCCAGUGGCUUUUCCAGAACUACUGCCUUCACCAUGAAGCUCCAUGAGUUUUCCCA